CAAUAGCGUAUAUUAAAGUUGUUGCGGUUAAAAAGCUCGUAGUUGGAUUUCUGUUGAGGGACGUCGGUCCGCACUAUGUGCGUGUAUCUGACUGUGCCUCGGCAUCCUCUCGAAUAUCGGUCUGCGCUUCAUUGCGUGGGUCGGACUUCGGGACUUUUACUUUGAGGAAAUUAGAGUGUUCACGGCAGGCAAGCGCCCUGAAUAUAUUAGCAUGGAAUAAUGAUAUAGGAUCUUGGUCCUAUUUUGUUGGUUUCUAGGGCUAAGAUAAUGAUUAAUAGGGACAAUUGGGGGCAUUCGUAUUAACGCGUCAGAGGUGGAAUUCUUGGAUUGCGUUACGACGAACUACUGCGAAAGCAUUUGCCAAGGAUGUUUUCAUUG
rnacentral:rRNA from 1 species